AGGAGGAACAACCCCAGUGGCGGUGGCCAGCUCUGGAGCCCUGGAGUCAGCCCCCGCAGUAACUGCAGUAACUACGGAGCUCUCUGUCCACAGGGCCUGGAGGCUCCGGGCCGGG
rnacentral:pre_miRNA from 1 species